UACGUAGGGGGCUAGCGUUGUCCGGAAUCAUUGGGCGUAAAGCGCGUGUAGGCGGCCCGAUAAGUCCGCUGUGAAAGUCCAGGGCUCAACCCCGGGAGGCGGGCGGAUACUGUCGGGCUAGAGUCCGGAAGAGGCGAGUGGAAUUCCUGGUGUAGCGGUGAAAUGCGCAGAUAUCAGGAGGAACACCGGUGGCGAAGGCGGGUCUCUGGGCCGAUACUGACGCUGAGGAGCGAAAGCGUGGGGAGCGAACAGG
rnacentral:rRNA from 1 species